GACGAACGCUGGCGGCAUGCCUAAUACAUGCAAGUAGAACGCUGAAGGAGGAGCUUGCUUCUCUGGAUGAGUUGCGAACGGGUGAGUAACGCGUAGGUAACCUGCCUGGUAGCGGGGGAUAACUAUUGGAAACGAUAGCUAAUACCGCAUAAGAUUGACUAUUGCAUGAUAGUCAGUUAAAAGGUGCAAUUGCAUCACUACCAGAUGGACCUGCGUUGUAUUAGCUAGUUGGUGGGGUAACGGCUCACCAAGGCGACGAUACAUAGCCGACCUGAGAGGGGGAUCGGCCACACUGGGACUGAGACACGGCCCAGACUCCUACGGGAGGCAGCAGUAGGGAAUCUUCGGCAAUGGACGGAAGUCUGACCGAGCAACGCCGCGUGAGUGAAGAAGGUUGUCGGAUCGUAAAGCUCUGUUGUAAGAGAAGAACGAGUGUGAGAGUGGAAAGUUCACACUGUGACGGUAUCUUACCAGAAAGGGACGGCUAACUACGUG
rnacentral:rRNA from 1 species